AGCGAACGCUGGCGGCAGGCUUAACACAUGCAAGUCGAGCGGGCCCUUCGGGGUCAGCGGCGGACGGGUGAGUAACGCGUGGGAACGUGCCCUCUGGUCUGGAAUAACCCUGGGAAACUAGGGCUAAUACCGGAUACGCCCUUUUGGGGAAAGGCUUGCUGCCGGAGGAUCGGCCCGCGUCUGAGUAGCUAGUUGGUGGGGUAACGGCCUACCAAGGCGACGAUCAGUAGCUGGUCUGAGAGGAUGAUCAGCCACACUGGGACUGAGACACGGCCCAGACUCCUACGGGAGGCAGCAGUGGGGAAUAUUGGACAAUGGGCGCAAGCCUGAUCCAGCCAUGCCGCGUGAGUGAUGAAGGCCUUAGGGUUGUAAAGCUCUUUUAUCCGGGACGAUAAUGACGGUACCGGAGGAAUAAGCCCCGGCUAACUUCGUGCCAGCAGCCGCGGUAA
rnacentral:rRNA from 1 species